GAGAGACUUGUUGAAAUGCUCCGUGCCAUGAAGCAGAAGGCACUGUCAGCAGCAGUGGCCGACUCCUUGACAAACUCUCCGAGGGACAGUCCUGCCGUCUCCCUGAGUGAACCAGCCACACAGCAAGCCUCUCUGGAUGUGGAGAAGCCGGUUGGUGUUGCUGCUUCUUUGUCUGACAUCCCAAAGGCCGCAGAGCCUGGGAAGCUGGAACAGGUCCGGCCCCAGGAGCUGUCGAGAGUCCAGGAGCUAGCUCCUGCCAGCGGGGAGAAGGCCAGGCUGAGCGAGGCCCCUGGAGGCAAAAAGAGCCUGAGCAUGCUUCACUACAUCCGGGGCGCUGCACCCAAGGACAUUCCUGUGCCGCUGUCCCACAGCACCAAUGGGAAAAGCAAGCCAUGGGAGCCCUUUGUGGCAGAAGAGUUUGCACAUCAGUUCCACGAGUCAGUGCUGCAGUCCACCCAGAAGGCCCUGCAGAAGCAUAAAGGUAAUGAGGCUGCCAGUCCCUGCUCAGCUCUCGGCUGUGGUUGAGGCUGGCCAAAGUCCCUGAGCGCCACAGCUGCUCAGCUGUGGGCACAAGUUUUUAUAAACUCCAAUCACCAGAAGAAAAUAAUUUCGUUAUUUUGCCAAAACCAUGUUUGUUUGUUUUACUCCAAGCUCUAAAACCUGAACUCGUAGGUGAGAAACAUUUAUUUGUAGGCACCAGCACUGAUGCUGUGCUGUGAGCAGGGACGCAUCGAUCGGUAAGAGGUAAAGGA
rnacentral:sRNA from 1 species